UACAGAGGUCUCAAGCGUUGUUCGGAUUCAUUGGGCGUAAAGGGUGUGUAGGUGGCGCCGUAAGUCGGGUGUGAAAUUUCGGAGCUUAACUCCGAAACUGCAUUCGAUACUGCGGUGCUUGAGGACUGGAGAGGAGACUGGAAUUCAUGGUGUAGCAGUGAAAUGCGUAGAGAUCAUGAGGAAGACCAGUGGCGAAGGCGGGUCUCUGGACAGUUCCUGACACUGAGGUGCGAAAGCGUGGGGAGCAAACAGG
rnacentral:rRNA from 1 species